UUCUGCAAAUUGACACCGUAACUUCGGGAGAAGGUGUGCCGCUGGCGGUUAGUGACUUCGCGUCACGAAGCUGUCGGUGGUCGCAGUGAAAUGGCGGUUGUGACUGUUUACUAAAAACACAGGACUCUGCGAAGUCGUAAGACGACGUAUAGGGUCUGAUGCCUGCCCGGUGCUGGAAGGUUAAGGGGAUAUGUCAGCGCAAGCGAAGCAUUGAACCGAAGCCCCAGUAAACGGCGGCCGUAACUAUAACGGUCCUAAGGUAGCGAAAUUCCUUGUCGGGUAAGUUCCGGCCUGCACGAAGGGCAUAACAACAUCCGCACUGUCUCGACCAGGGACUCAGCGAAAUUACAUUGGGGGUGAAGAUGCCCUCUACCCGCGGAAAGACGGAAAGACCCCAUGAACCUUUACUGCAACUUGGCAGUGAUUUUCGGGUUGUCCUGCGUAGGAUAGGUGGGAGGCUUUGAAGCCGGGCUUCCGGGUUCGGCAGAGCCAACGUUGAAAUACCACCCUGAAUAAUCUGGAAAUCUAACCUGCGCCCAUGAUCUGGGCGAGGGACACUGCCUGGUGGGCAGUUUGACUGGGGCGGUCGCCUCCUAAAUUGUAACGGAGGCGUGCGACGGUUCCCUCAGGCUGAUUGGAAACCAGCCGUAGAGUGCAAACGCAUAAGGGAGCUUUACUGCGAGACUGACAAGUCGAACAGUUGCGAAAGCAGGUGUUAGUGAUCCGGUGGUACCACAUGGAAGGGCCAUCGCUCAUCGGAUAAAAGGUACUCUGGGGAUAACAGGCUGAUCGCGCCUGAGAGUUCACAUCGGCGGCGCGGUUUGGCACCUCGAUGUCGGCUCAUCGCAUCCUGGGGCUGGAGCAGGUCCCAAGGGUUUGGCUGUUCGCCAAUUAAAGCGGUAUACGAGCUGGGUUUAAAACGUCGUGAGACAGUUUGGUCCCUAUCUUCCGUGGGCGCAGGACACUUGAGAGGAGCUAUCCAUAGUACGAGAGGACCUGGAUGGACGAACCUCUGGUGCUCCGGUUGUCACGCCAGUGGCAUAGCCGGGUAGCCAUGUUCGGAACAGAUAACCGCUGAAGGCAUAUAAGCGGGAAGCUGGCCUCAAGACUAGGUGUCCCUGACGCAAGUCACUAAAGGCCCCUCGAAGACUACGAGGUUGAUAGGCUCGGUGUGGAAGCGCUGCGAGGCGUGGAGCUAACGAGUACUAAUAGGCCGUGCGACUUGACACC
rnacentral:rRNA from 1 species